UCCAGACUCCUACGGGAGGCAGCAGUGGGGGAUAUUGCACAAUGGGGGAAACCCUGAUGCAGCGACGCCGCGUGAAGGAAGAAGGUCUUCGGAUUGUAAACUUUUGUCUUGUGGGAAGAUAAUGACGGUACCACAGGAGGAAGCUCCGGCUAACUACGUGCCAGCAGCCGCGGUAAUACGUAGGGAGCGAGCGUUGUCCGGAUUUACUGGGUGUAAAGGGUGCGUAGGCGGCUAGACAAGUCAGGUGUGAAAUACCGCAGCUCAACUGCGGGGCUGCACUUGAAACUGUAGAGCUUGAGUGAUGGAGAGGUAAGCGGAAUUCCUAGUGUAGCGGUAAAAUGCGUAGAUAUUAGGAGGAACACCAGUGGCGAAGGCGGCUUACUGGACAUUAACUGACGCUGAGGCACGAAAGCGUGGGGAGCAAACAGGAUUAGAUACCCGGGUA
rnacentral:rRNA from 1 species